UUCUGGCUCAGGAUGAACGCUGGCGGCGUGCUUAACACAUGCAAGUCGAACGGAGCCUAGCGAGUGCUUGCACUUGCGAAAGCUUAGUGGCGGACGGGUGAGUAACGCGUGGGUAACCUGCCCUAUACUGGGGGAUAACAGUUGGAAACGACUGCUAAUACCGCAUAAGCCUACGGUGCCGCAUGACACAGUAGGAAAAACUCCGGUGGUAUAGGAUGGACCCGCGUCUGAUUAGCUAGUUGGUGAGGUAACGGCCCACCAAGGCGACGAUCAGUAGCCGGCCUGAGAGGGUGAACGGCCACAUUGGGACUGAGACACGGCCCAAACUCCUACGGGAGGCAGCAGUGGGGAAUAUUGCACAAUGGGGGAAACCCUGAUGCAGCCGACGCCGCGUGAGCGAAGAAGUAUUUCGGUAUGUAAAGCUCUAUCAGCAGGGAAGAUAAUGACGGUACCUGACUAAGAAGCACCGGCUAAAUACGUGCCAGCCGCCGC
rnacentral:rRNA from 1 species